rnacentral:misc_RNA from 1 species
UCUCCGUAGGUGAACCUGCGGAGGGAUCAUUACCGAGCUCAUGCCCUUACGGGUAGAUCUCCCACCCUGUGUUAUUAUUACCUUUGUUGCUUUGGCGGGCCGCCAGGCUCCGGUCAGGCUAUCGGCUUCGGCUGGUAAGCGCCCGCCAGAGGACCCUAUAUCCUGAUUAUUAGUGUCGUCCGAGUACUAUAUAAUAGUUAAAACUUUCAACAACGGAUCUCUUGGUUCUG